rnacentral:misc_RNA from 1 species
CAUGGUUACACAAUGAUAUAUGAGAGAAGCACAAUAGUAUGCAAACACUGAAUGUGAAAAAUGGCUUAUUUAUCCCAAUAGCUUUUGUGGAUGUUAGCAAGAAAUUCAAACAUGCAAUAACUGUUCAACUUCUCCAAGAAAGUCAAUAAAAAGAAAUGUGUAGACACACCACAAAAAAGCUGUAUAGUUGAACUCUGUAUAUCUUAUAGCCAAGAAAUUUUAGCUCCUGCUGACAUGAUGUGAACUCAAAGCUUCAUACUUAAUCGCAUUUGUCAGGAAGCUGAACUGAUUAUGAAACUGCUGGCAAUGACAAGUGGAAUGCUUUAAUAAACCUCAAGCAUUCUCUGAAAUGCUAUUACUAAGAUACGGAUCUUCCUAGAUCAAAAAUCCCAACUAACUGAAUGAUGGAGUAAUGGAAAGUCCAAAUUCCCAUUUUUCCAUUACAUUGUUUCACGCACGAGUCAUGAGCACAACCAUACAAAUAACAAUGCAAGAACAUAGUUUAUAUCGGCCACCAACCCAAACUUACAACAACGAUCUCUUGAUACUCUUUAAUUUUACCAUUCCAUUACACAAAGAAAUUGAAACUCCAAAAUUACGAGUUCAUAGAAUCUCUCUCUUGAAUCCUAACCUGGAAUAAAUAGAUUCCAAAUCUACUGAACAAAAGUGAAACGAAUAUUCAAACAUUUGGUAACUGCAUUAAACCAGCAUAAAAACUUAAAUUAAGUAUAUAGACCACGCUACCUGCUCAACAAAAAUCUAACGAUUGUUUUCAGUUCAACUUCCCUCUUGCCUGAUCCAAGUUCAAUCGGUGUAGUAGUAGAAAAUGAUCAACAUUCUUAACAUGCAUACUAAAGAAAACUUCCAAAUGAAAAGAAUCUUCACAUUUUCCAUCAACAG